UACGUAGGGUGCAAGCGUUUGUCCGGAAUUAUUGGGCGUAAAGGGCUCGUAGGCGGUUUGUCGCGUCGGGAGUGAAAACCUUGGGCUUAACUCAGGGCUUGCUUUCGAUACGGGCAGACUAGAGGUAUGCAGGGGAGAACGGAAUUCCUGGUGUAGCGGUGAAAUGCGCAGAUAUCAGGAGGAACACCGGUGGCGAAGGCGGUUCUCUGGGCAUGAUCUGACGCUGAGGAGCGAAAGUGUGGGGAGCGAACAGG
rnacentral:rRNA from 1 species